rnacentral:RNase_P_RNA from 1 species
AAUCGAUGGCAGAUGAUCGCUGGUGAAUCGCAAGAUUCGCUGGAGGAAAGUCCGAACACCAUACGGCAGCAUGCCGCGUAAAAUACGCGGGCGACGUCCGCGAAAGCCGACGUUGACGGAGAGUGUCACAGAAAAGACACCGCCGGUUCUUUGAAAGAAGCGCAGGCAAGGGUGAAAAGGCGAGGUAAGAGCUCACCGCUCGCGAAGUAAUUCGCGAGGCAGGAAAAACCCCAUGCGGUGCAAGACAAAACAGAGGAAGGGCAGCCGGCCCGAUCAAGAUCCUCGGGUAUCGUCGCACGCGGUCGAAAUUGUAGCGGCGGUCUGUGACCGCCGACGCAAAAGGCCCGUCCAGCUCCAGUUUUUCUGAAAGGCAGCGAGCUGGUUAGAGCUGGCCAGAAAAACUGGGGCUGGAAGAUAAAUGAUCAUCCGCGUGAGCAAUCACGCCGACAGAAUUCGGCUUAUCGCCAUCGAAAAUAU